rnacentral:rRNA from 1 species
AGGGCGAGGAAGAGACAUCAACCGAGAUUCCGCAAGUAGUGGCGAGCGAACGCGGAAGAGGCCAAACCGAGGGAUUUAUUCCUCGGGGUUGCGGACAGUCAUUUAGCGGAAGUUAUCUAGGAGAAGGGUCUGGGAAGGCCCGCCACAGAGGGUGAGAGCCCCGUAUCCGAAAGAGAAGGCCGUGCGACUGAAUCCAGAGUACCGCGGGACACGUGAAACCCCGUGGGAAACAGGGGGGACCACCCUCCAAGCCUAAAUACUACCUGAUGACCGAUAGAGGAGCAGUACCGUGAGGGAAAGGUGAAAAGGACCCCGGGAGGGGAGUGAAAGAGAACCUGAAACCUUGUGCUUACAAGCUGUCAAAGCACGUUAACGUGUGAUGGCGUACUUUUUGUAGAACGGUCCGGCGAGUUAUAGUAACGAGCGAGCUUAAGGCAUUCAGUGCCGGAGGCGAAGCGAGAGCGAGUCUGAAUAGGGCGUAAAGUUCGUUGCCAUAGACCCGAAACCGGGUGACCUACCCAUGAGCAGGUUGAAGUGGGGGUGAAACCCCAUGGAGGACCGAACCGACCCCCGUUGCAAUGGUGGCGGAUGACUUGUGGGUAGCGGUGAAAUUCCAAUCGAACUCGGAGAUAGCUGGUUCUCCCCGAAAUAGCUUUAGGGCUAGCGUUAUGUUAGAUUACCGGAGGUAAAGCACUGAAUGGUAGCGGGGCCGAUAAGGUUACCAACGCCUAUCAAACUAAGAAUGCCGGCUAAUUGAUGCAUAGCAGUCAGACAGUGUGAGAUAAGUUUCAUUGUCAAAAGGGAAACAGCCCAGACCUACAGCUAAGGUCCCGAAUAGAUGCUGAGUGGAAAACGAUGUGGAGUUGCGAAAACAACCAGGAUUGUGGGCUUAAAGCAGCCACUCAUUAAAAGAGUGCGUAAUAGCUCACUGGUCGAGUGACUCUGCGCGGAAAAUGUAACGGGGCUAAGCAUCUACCGAAAGCUUAGGAUUGUCGUAAGACAGUGGUAGGGGAGCGUUCCAUGUGGGGUGAAGUCGCAGCGGAAGCAGCGGUGGACUGCAUGGAAGUGAGAAUGCCGGAAUGAGUAGCGAGAAUUAUGUGGGAAUCAUAAUGGCCGAAAAUCUAAGGUUUCUUGGGGAAGGUUCGUCCGCCCAAGGUAAGCCGGGAGCUAAGGCGAGGCCGAAAGGCGUAGUCGAUGCACAUACGGUAGAAAUUCCGUAGCCACCGAACUUUAAGUCAGAGGGACACUUUUGGAUAGCGGAACCCGGGCGUUGGUUGACCCGGGCGAAAGGGAGCGAAAAUAUAGUAGCGAAGUCCGCGAUGCUGAGAGGCGAGAAAAGCUCUGAUGGAUACUAAGGUGCCCGUACCGCAAACCGACACAGGUAGAUGAGGAGAGAAUCCUAAGGCCAACGGGAGAAGGGUUGUUAAGGAACUCGGCAAGUUGACCCCGUAACUUCGGAAUAAGGGGAGCCUCGCAAGAGGCCGCAGUGAAAAGGCCCAAGCAACUGUUUACCAAAAACACAGGUCUAUGCUAAAUCGAAAGAUGACGUAUAUGGGCUGACGCCUGCCCGGUGCCGGAAGGUUAAGAGGAGAUGUCAGCGCAAGCGAAGCAUUGAAUUGAAGCCCCGGUAAACGGCGGCCGUAACUAUAACGGUCCUAAGGUAGCGAAAUUCCUUGUCAGGUAAGUUCUGACCCGCACGAAAGGCGUAAUGAUUUGGGCACUGUCUCAACAGCCCGCCCGGCGAAAUUGUAGUACUGGUGAAGAUACCAGUUACCCGCAACUAGACGGGAAGACC